UACGUAGGGUGCAAGCGUUAUCCGGAAUUAUUGGGCGUAAAGAGCUCGUAGGCGGUUUGUCGCGUCUGCUGCGAAAACCGGAGGCUCAACCUCCGGCCUGCAGUGGGUACGGGCAAACUAGAGUGCGGUAGGGGAGAUUGGAAUUCCUGGUGUAGCGGUGGAAUGCGCAGAUAUCAGGAGGAACACCGAGUGGCGAAGGCAGAUCUCUGGGCCGUAACUGACGCUGAGGAGCGAAAGCGUGGGGAGCGAACAGG
rnacentral:rRNA from 1 species